CGGCAUUAGCCCGCCACUAUAGAAAUCGCGCUAUAAUUCGUCUGUCUGUUGGCCACCUCCUUCACCCUUUCCGAUUCUUCCUUCAGUGUUAAAGGAUCUCCAUUGCUGUUCUGUAGAAGAUUCUAUAUGCCUAAUCGUAAUUAUUUCUAUUAUAUUUAUCAGCCGACGAGAACAUGUUUGUGGCAGCCUCUAAUCAUAAGGCUGACAAAUAUUUCAUAAUGGAAUGGACGUAUACGGCCGUGUUCUACGCGUUUUCGUGUUUUGUUUUUUACCAUCUGAUCUACACAGAAAACAUAUUGAAACCAUACUUGGAUGAUCUGACCUUGGACAAUAUCAACUAUGUGCUGAUGACGUCGCUGUCCGUCCUCAUCGUUUUGUUAAAUCCGUUGUUGGCGAGUAGAGCACGUGAGAAGCGAGAAGAAUAUUUCAAACUCUGGCGAGAAUAUCAGAUUCAAUAUGAACAGUACACUAUUGCGAAAUUGGACCUAGGUUCGUCGAUUCUUAUCGUUUUGCUCAUUGUUGUUGGUGCGAUCGUAACAACUCUUGAGUUGGUCGCAAACUGCGCCUUAACAUCGCAAGUACAACCCACUUACGUGUACGCUAAUUGGCUCAUUUAUUUUUAUACGAACCUUACGACCAUCCAGUGGGUCACGGACUGCCAUUUAUUGACUAUAGCCUCCGAGAUGUUGCUCGAUCAAUUGUUAGUACAGAUGACCACUGUGGCCACGUCUAACAGAGUCGACGGCGGCGGCAAAGGUGUCGAAUCGCGCGUGUCCUGUUUCGUCGAUCUUUGGCGAAAACUUUCGGACAUGUCCGGCGGGCUGAUGGACACCGGUCGCGGUCUGUAUGAAUUCAAUUUCUUCGUUCAGUCGGUGAUCGUCGUGCAAGCUCUAUACGGUAUCGUCGCCCUGUACAUCGGUCGACAUCACUCAAUUAUACACUACUACGUAUACUUUCCAACCGCCGCAUGGUCGAUUUUAAAUCUGGUCGUUCUGUGCGAGGCUGCGUAUUCGGUCACCAACCAAGUGGGAUUCAAAACCAAUAUAUCAAUACAGUUAAUGGCUUGCAAUAAAUUCAAUUUAGAAACUCAAGAGCAGGUAAUCAGUUAUCACAAACAAAAGUGAUUUAAUAAUGAUUCCUUUGAAUUAACUUCAAUAUAGAAUAUUAAUGAUACCUAAACUACUUAAUAUAUUAGAUUUUUACGGCUUUGAAAACUAUCCAAUCCCACACACCUGUAAUAACUGUAAGUGGUUACUUUACUAUGGAUCGAACAUACAUACUGACUUAUCUCGGAG
rnacentral:misc_RNA from 1 species